ACAGAGGGUGCAAACGUUGCUCGGAAUCACUGGGCGCAAAGGGCGUGUAGGCGGGCAGAUAAGUCGGGCGUGAAAUCCCCAGGCUCAACCUGGGAACUGCACUCGAAACUGUUUGUCUUGAGUAUCGGAGAGGAAAGCGGAAUACCUGGUGUAGAGGUGAAAUUCGUAGAUAUCGGGUGGAACACCAGUGGCGAAGGCGGCUUUCUGGACGAUAACUGACGCUGAGACGCGAAAGCGUGGGGAGCAAACAGGA
rnacentral:rRNA from 1 species